CUUCAGCGACCCCAACCACAACGGCCGAUCCUCCGGCCGCCCCUGACCAUAAGUGGCCAACAGCGCCUGCGCCUC
rfam:Actinoalloteichus sp. GBA129-24, complete genome.